rnacentral:misc_RNA from 3 species
AACGCACAUUGCGCCCCCUGGUAUUCCGGGGGGCAUGCCUGUCCGAGCGUCAUUGCUGCCCUCAAGCACGGCUUGUGUGUUGGGCUUCCGUCCCUGGCAACGGGGACGGGCCCAAAAGGCAGUGGCGGCACCAUGUCUGGUCCUCGAGCGUAUGGGGCUUUGUCACCCGCUCCCGUAGGUCCAGCUGGCAGCUAGCCUCGCAACCAAUCUUUUUAACCAGGUUGACCUCGGAUCAGGUAGGGAUACCCGCUGAACUUAA